UGUACGAGAAACAUGUUAGUUUUGACAAGUAAACAAGCGUUGUAAGGUCAGUACAAAAGGCGCUGGCUGCGAGUACGUUACAAUUAAACGGAAAUACGCGUAAAUAUUUGAAUAAACAGAAAAAAAAUAAAAGUGAAAUUUAAGAAAAUGUGCAAAAAUAAAAAAGAAAAUAAUAAAAAGUAAAUAAAUAAAAACAAAAGAAAAAUUAUAUGAAAAAAUUCUUAAAGGAAUUUGCAAUUUAAAGUAAAUUUUAAAGAAUUUAAGAAAAUCGUUUUAUAAACUUAAGUUAAAGUUUUACAAACAACGUGAUUUUAAGGAUAAAGAAAAAUUUAAAGAAAUGCUUUAAGUUUUAAAGUGUUUGGAAAGUAAAGAUUUUAAUUUAAUUCAAAGCUAUUGUAUUCUUUUUGUUUUUGCUUAGCCAAGUGAAAAUUUUAAAUGGUGCGUAAUCCUCGGAGGGCAUUGUUAUUGUAAAAAUUUUCGAAUUGCCCAAAUUUACAUUAUUUGUAUGUACAAAAGAAUUUCUUCUUAUAUUAUGGUUGUAGUUGUUAUUGCCAAAAAUUGUUUGCCGAAAUAUAUAGAAUUAAAAUAAGAAUAUUAUAAUAAGAAAAGCAUAUAACACAAAAAAAGAACCCAGCAGAAUCAAUAAAGUCUUAUUUGAUUUUUUGCCAAGGGUGUUAACAACAGACGGCGCGCGUAAAUAAAGUUUUAGUUGCUAUUUUCUUCGGUAAAAACAUAAAGUGCUAAAAGUAACAAAAGAUGUGCAAAAAAAAUUUGGAAAAUAAAAAAAAUAAUAAAAUAAAUUAAAAAUAAGCAAAAAAAAAUAGAAAAAAAGUGUAUAAAAGUUAAAAAGAAUCCUUUUAAAAAACAACCAGAUAAAAUAUAUCCUUAAGUGUUAAAGAAAAAAAAAUAACAACAAUAAUAAAAACCAAAUCGAAGACGACAACAAGGAAAAAAGAGGAGCAAACAAAAAACUACAACAACAACAUAAUGUUUUUGAAAAAUUUCAAUUAAUUAAUUAAAACCCUGGAUAUAAAAGAUAAAAAAACGAUAUACAUAUAAAUCAAAACGAGUUCAAACCACAGUGUAAAAUUUUUUAAGAUAAAUACUUUAUUGAUGAAAAUAUAAAAGAAAAAACUUUAAAAAAGUUUAAUUAACAAAACAAACCAAAUGAAAAUAUAAAAAUCGUUAGUUAAAUCAAAUCAAACAGUAUUAUAUAAACACCUUUAAUAAAACGUAUAAAUAAAGUAAAAGAAUUCUUAUUUAAAUUUUGAAUUAAAUUGUUCAACUACCACAAACCCAAUUUGGCUUACAAAGGCAUUUCUUUCAACUGAAAUUCUAUCAACAACAGAUAACUGUUUUUUUUUUCGCAGCAAAUCAUCGAAUGACAAAUUGCUUCUAUUAUCAAAAGAAAUCCUGGCAAUCCCAGCAAAUUACUAUAAUGAAUUCUAUACUAUAUUGCAACAACUCUCACAUUCAAUUAAGCUAAACUAAGGUGCAUACUUAGUUAACUAUUUAAUAU